UGAUGGAGGGAAAGUUCGAAUCAGGUGAGGAAGGUACUGACAGAGCGGCUUUGGUGCUGAAUCUGAUUCAGAAAUAAGAAUGGGCUGUGGCGUUAUACAGUAUAUAUGAAAUAUUAGGUGCCAAUUUGGUUGCCUCUGUUUCUAGACUUUGUCAUGUUUUUCGUUCCCUGUUAAGUUGAUAGAUGGAGUAAGGAGAAUAACAGCAUCAUUUUGACUUGGAGGAUAAGUUUAAGUUAACGUGCUGUUGUAAAAUUAAUAUUUUAUCGUUUACCGUAAUAAUUGACUUUAGUGAGAAUACUGAACCAUAUCAGAAUGUUCUGAAGCGAUGCUGUUCGAGGGGUGGCACAGAUGAAGAUGGAAAAAUAUUCUGAGGCCCUUGACAUUUUUAAGGAAGUCUCUUGGCACAGAUCCACUCCCUUUCAGGCCAGACCCCAUUGUGCUCUACACUUUUGUAGGAAGGCUUUGGAGCUGGAUUGUGCUUGCCAUAGUGCACUUUAUCAAAGUGCUCUGGUGUUCAGACAGUUUGGCAAUCCAAAGGCAGAAAUCGAGGCCUUGCAUCUUCUUUACUCAGUCAUCCAAGUUGCAGAUGAGUUUCUUCAUCGGAGCAGAAUAAAAUAAAUUCAGCAUUACAUCAUUUGCACCACUGCAGUGAUAGGGUGCCAUCAGAAUGACUUCAAACAGCUGAUAAAAACAUCACAGUAAUUCACAUUUCACAUGCUUCAGUCCAUCAAUUAAUGUCUUGUGAAGUGAAAGGAUGCAUGUUUAUAAUAAACAAAUUCAUCAAGACAUUUUUAACUUCAAACUAUUGCUUCCACCUAAAAUACGAGUAUCCAUAAUAAUUUAUCCAUAAUAUUGCUUUCUCCAUUGAAAAAGUCUCAUCUGAAUCAGGACGGAAACAUGCACAAAUAAAGUACCGUUUAUAGAGAAAACAGUCCAAACUAUUCUAAACAGAAAUGUCAGGGGAUUUUGAUGUGAAAGGACAACAGGGGAUGAACUUUUUGACUGGAGGAAGUGUUAUUAUGGAUUAUGGACUGGUAUUUUGGCCCAAAGCAACAGUUUAAAGUUAAAUCACCUUGAUGAUGGGUUUGUUUCUAACAACCAUGCAGCUUUUCUCUUAAGAAGUUGUGUGAAUUUCUGUCAAUUUAAGGGAUGAUUUUAUGAGACUCACAUUCCCAAUACAAAUUAUCUAUUGGUGAGCAAGUGCUGUAAU